rnacentral:piRNA from 1 species
CCACAAAGUACUUUUCCCUCAUAUUUAAGGA